ACUCCUACGGGAGGCAGCAGUGAGGAAUAUUGGACAAUGGACGCAAGUCUGAUCCAGCCAUGCCGCGUGCAGGAAGAAUGCCCUAUGGGUUGUAAACUGUCUUUUAUUUGGGAAUAAACCCUUCUCGUGAGGAGGGCUGAAGGUACCAAACGAAUAAGCACCGGCUAACUCCGUGCCAGCAGCCGCGGUAAUACGGAGGGUGCAAGCGUUAUCCGGAAUCAUUGGGUUUAAAGGGUCCGCAGGCGGACGUAUAAGUCAGUGGUGAAAGCCUACAGCUUAACUGUAGAACUGCCAUUGAUACUGUAUGUCUUGAAUUCGGUCGGAGUGGGCGGAAUGUGUCAUGUAGCGGUG
rnacentral:rRNA from 1 species